UUGCAGAGGGGAAAUACAUAUGUCAUUCUCACUGCCUAGACGUGGUGCACCUGGAUUAUCCACACAAUGGGAAACCACCGAGCUGCACACCCACCUCUGAAGUAAGGCACUCAAGCAAAAGGAGUAGUCAGCUGACCACGCACACAGAAGAACUACAGCAAAAGCUACAGUGAAGACCUGAGCAACAGCAGAAAGCAAAACAGAGGUCCCAGUGCUGCUCACCUUCCUCUCUCUGGCUCAAUUGCUGUGUAGACGUAAAGCCGGCAUAAAAUAGCCCUAAAUACUUUACAGAGUUGUGUUGAGGCUAAGGGGG
rnacentral:lncRNA from 1 species